rnacentral:lncRNA from 1 species
CAAGCCCGGAGGAGCCGAUGCAGAUCGGUCACACGCGGCUCACUGAGGAGGAGAGACGCAGACGCCGCACCCAACAGCUGUGCAUGUAUUGUGGACAGGCAGGGCAUUUUGCUGCGAGGUGUCCGCUAAAAGACCAGGCUCAUCACUAGCAUGGAGGAUAGCGAUGAGCCGAACCAUGCUCGGCAGUGCCUCCGCACGGUCCCUUCCAACCGUGACACUGCAAUACUCGUUCGAUCCAGCAGGGGGUGCUGAUAGACUCGGGUGCGGACGCCAGCCUGAUGGACGCGGGGCUGGUUGAUCGCAUGGGCAUCCACACGGCACCAUUAGCGUCACCAGUUGAAACGGCGGCGUUGAAUGGCCGCAGAUUGUGGAGAGUCAAGCAUCACACCGCCCUUGUCUCCAUGUUAUUUGCUGAUGGACAUUCAGAGAGAAUCACGUUUUUAGUUGUGGAGUCCUGUUAUCACCCUAUUGUUUUAGGCCACACCUGGUUGAGGAGACACAACCCCACGCUGGAUUGGAGGAGUGGAGAGGUGCGCGAAUGGGACCCGGAGUGCCGGCGCACCUGCUUCCAGUCCAUCCCCGAACCAGAGGACCUUCAGAGCGGGUUGGGUAUGGAAGGAGGAGAGGAGGCUGACCUUAAUGGCGUUUCGGAGUGCUACCAUGACCUUCGCAUGGUCUUCAGUAAGGUUAGAGCCACAUCCCUUCCACCGCACCGGAAGCAUGACUGUGCGAUCAAUCUGAGACCAGGUACAGCGCCACCCAAGGGCAGGCUUUUCCACCUCUCACCAAAGGAGCGGACGGCCAUGAAAGAGUACUUGGAUUCAGCACUCGCAUCCGGGAUCAUACGGCCGUCCUCGUCACCCGCCGGAGCGGGGUUCUUCUUCGUGAGUAAAAAGGAUGGAUCAUUGAGACCCUGCAUAGACUAUUGGGGACUGAACGAUAUUACCAUUAGAGACUCUUAUCCGUUACCCCUGUUGUCAUCCGCCUUGAAUUACUUUCAGGAGCCACCUGUUUUA